UUUCCGUAGGUGAACCUGCGGAAGGAUCAUUAAAGUUAUAGUCCCCUGGCCCUCUGGGCUGGGGUCUUCUAUACCACCCUUUGUUUAUUACGCCUUCGUUGCUUUGGCAGGCCUGCCCUCGGGCUGCUGGCUCCGGCCGGCUCGCGUCUGCCAGAGGACCUAAACUCUGUUUGUAUAUGAAGUCUGAGUACUAUAUAAUAGUUAAAACUUUCAACAACGGAUCUCUUGGUUCUG
rnacentral:misc_RNA from 1 species